rnacentral:rRNA from 1 species
GAUGAACGCUGGCGGCGUGCUUAACACAUGCAAGUCGAACGGAAAGGCCCGGCUUUUGUGGGGUGGACGAGUGGCGAACGGGUGAGUAACACGUGAGUAACCUGCCCCUGACUUUGGGAUAACUUCUGGAAACUGCGGCUAAUACCGGAUAGGAGCUCCUGCUGCAUGUUGUGCAGUGGUAAAUUACGGCGGUAGGGGAUGGACUCGCGGCUUAUCAGCUUGUUGGUGUGGUAGUGGCUUACCAAGGCUUAGACGGGUAGCCGGCCUGAGAGGGUGACCGGCCACAUUGGGACUGAGAUACGGCCCAGACUCCUACGGGAGGCAGCAGUGGGGAAUAUUGCACAAUGGGCGGAAGCCUGAUGCAGCAACGCCGCGUGCGGGAUGACGGCCUUCGGGUUGUAAACCGCUUUCGCCUGUGACGAAGCGUGAGUGACGGUAAUUGGUAAAAAAGCACCGGCUAACUACGUG